UCAGCAUCACAGAACAUCCAGAAACAACAGAGAGUCUUCACAGACAGCUCACUGUGUAGAGCUCAGACAUCAUCAUAAUCUUCUGAAUGUUGUUGAUUGCAGCAGACAGUACAACAAAUGCAGCUCAGCAGCCUUCAGACUGAAAUGAGAUGCUGCAGAGGAAAACGUCUUUUCUGAAAAUGCACUGGGCUUCACAUUCACGUCCUUGUCCACAGCGAACACGGAGCAGAGAAUUUCCACCCAGUUUUUCUUUGUCACAGAAUAACAAAGAUGUGUAUGGAAACCAAAAACUGCAAGUAAAAAGUAAAAGAACAUGUAAAUACAGCCAAUAUGUUAAAGCUCCCUUAAACUCUGGCAUCGCUGCAAUACAGAGAACCAUCAAUGAAAACAGAAUGAUUUGAAUUACAUGAAUUAAAGUCUUACCAGGUAACGAAAGUAACAGCACAAAAAUGCUAAAACUUGAAUGUCACUUCUAGUUAUAGAGCCUUUGUUAAUGGCUACAUGACAGGAUUAAAGGGUCAGCC